rnacentral:tRNA from 1 species
AUUCAGGUAGCUUAAUUUUAAAGCCUUGUAUUGAAGAUACAAUUAUGGUUAUGUUCUUACCCUUGAGUA